UACGUAGGGUGCAAGCAUUAAUCGGAAUUAUUGGGCGUAGAGGGCGCGUAGGCGGGAAUGUAAGUCAGAUGUGAAAUCCCGGGGCUCAACCCCGGAACAGCAUUUGAAACUACAUUUCUAGAGGGUAGGCGGAGAAAAUGGAAUUCCACAAGUAGCGGUGAAAUGCGUAGAUAUGUGGAAGAACACCAGUGGCGAAAGCGAUUUUCUAGCUUAUACCUGACGCUGAGGCGCGAAAGCAAGGGGAUCAAACAGG
rnacentral:rRNA from 1 species